ensembl:lncRNA
AAAAAAAGAAAAAGAUAAAGAAAAGAGAAAAGAAAAAAGAAAAUAGAAAUAAAAAGAGGACAGAAAAAUAUGAAAAAAAGAAAAAAAGAAAAGAAAAAAACAGUAGAUGAAAAAAGAAAAAACAAAGGAAAAACGAAUAAUGACAAGAGAAGAAAGGUAAAGAGAAAAGAAGAAAAAAGCCAAGUCAAAAAGUAAAGAAUAACUCGAAGGAAGGAGUGGAUGGCAAGAAAUACAGAGAAAGCAGUGCAUAGCACAGCAGAGCAAAGCAAGGCAAAAUAGCAGCCAAAGCCACGAGAAUCAAGAAGUCAGUGAAGAGCAGGAAAGGAAUGGAGGAAUCUGUCCAGAGCUGUGCCCCUGCUUGCCACAGGAGCUGCGCGGGAGGAGAAGAACGUGGGCCAAAAGGUAAGAGGAGCUCCUUUGGGUUCUGGGCUUGAAGCAAAGCUGAGAAGCCAUGCCCGGGAGGAGGUGUGGGUAGCUACAGGCCACCUUGCUAUCUCCCCAAGAGAUGAGGUGUGUGGGCUAGGCACCGGGCAGGAGUGCUGGCCAGAAGCAAGCAUCUCUGUGGAGGAAGGCAAAGGGCGGAGGAGGUUCAAGGGUAGCUACCGGGCAUGGCCUUGCUCAGCAAGGGGAGGAAAAGCCUGAAGGGCACGAGAAGGGGAUAGAGAAGGGCAGGCAGUAGGCGUGAAGCUGCGAGCAGAGUAGAGAGCAACUUGGCAGAGCAGCAAGCAGAGUAGGCAAGUGUUGAGGUUUGGCGUGAGUAGCAGCAAAAGCCCAGAGCAUCAAGAAGCAGGAAGUGAGGAGAAGGUAAGUGAAGGGCAGGCAAGGUAAUGGGAGGCAAAGGCAAGGGG